GCCCGGCUAGCUCAGUCGGUUAAGCAUGGGAGUUUUAAUCUCAGGGUCAUGGGUUCGAGCCCCACGUCGGGCG
rnacentral:tRNA from 1 species